rnacentral:rRNA from 1 species
CCGGCGCACGGGUGAGUAACACGUAUGCAAUCCACCUGUAACAGGGGGAUAACCCGGAGAAAUCCGGACUAAUACCCCAUAAUAUGGGCGCUCCGCAUGGAGAGCCCAUUAAAGAGAACAAUUUUGGUUACAGACGAGCAUGCGCUCCAUUAGCCAGUUGGCGGGGUAACGGCCCACCAAAGCGACGAUGGAUAGGGGUUCUGAGAGGAAGGUCCCCCACAUUGGAACUGAGACACGGUCCAA